ACCAUCAACCUAUCAAACAUCUCUUGUGGCCCUUCAUCACUAAUAAUCACAAACCUAUUGAGCUUGGCCAUCAUCAAAUCAAUUUUGGCCUUCCUCACUUUGUCAACACCUUCAUGAGCUAAAACCAAAGUAUCCCAAAUUUGCUUGGCCACAUUCACAUUCAUCACCCGGUUGUACUCAUUUCCAUUGAGAGCACUAAGGAGAAUGCUUGUGGCUUGAUUAUUGAAGUGGACAGCAAUCAUUUCUUCAUUUGUUGG
rnacentral:lncRNA from 1 species